rnacentral:lncRNA from 1 species
UUGGAUGAUGAGGGAACACAGCAAAUGGUGCUUAUGUCUUCCCUCUCUCUCCAAGUAUGCUGUGUAGAAUGAAGACUCAAGCCAGGUCACAAAUAGACCCUAUCAGAGCCUCAAGGUACUUGUAUGUGUUGCCAAUCAUAAACAGAACUCUUUACUUCAUGUUUAAAGCCCACAUGAUGGAUUUGCAAGACUUUGAAUGCAGAAGUAAUGGCAAUCAAAUACAG